CGGGUCGUUGGCGCGGAACCGUGCCCGGGCUUCCUGGGUGAUCUCGGGCAUCUCGACGUCGGCCUGCCCGUCGGUCGCGGCGGCGGCGGCCCGG
rnacentral:tRNA from 1 species